AUUUUAUAAUUAGAAGGGAAGUAGUCCCUCCCAGACAGAACCCUCCUUGUUUUAAUUUAUUUGGUUUUUUAGCCUAUGUUAUAUUCCUUAGCAUCAUUUGUUUUACUAAUGUAAAUUGUUUGGUGAAAUAAGAAGGUAGUAGGGUACAAGUACAAGAUCACUGAUUAGUGUUUGUUAGGCAUUCAAGGGAACAUGUUAUCUGAG
rnacentral:lncRNA from 1 species